rnacentral:rRNA from 1 species
GAUGAACGCUGGCGGCGUGCCUAAUACAUGCAAGUCGAGCGAACAGACGAGGAGCUUGCUCCUCUGACGUUAGCGGCGGACGGGUGAGUAACACGUGGAUAACCUACCUAUAAUACUGGGAUAACUUCGUGAAACCGGAGCUAAUACCGGAUAAUAUAUUGAACCGCAUGGUUCAAUAGUUAAAGACGGUUUUGCUGUCACUUUUAGAUGGAUCCGCGCCGCAUUAUCUAGUUGGUAAGGUAACGGCUUACCAAGGCGACGAUGCGUAGCCGACCGGAGAGGAGGAGCGGCAACACGGGAACUGAGACACGGGGCAGACGCCGACGGGAGGAAGCAGGGGGGAAUAGUGAGCAAGGGGCGCAAGCCUGAACGAGCAAUGACGCGUGGGUGAAGAAGGACUUCGGGUCGUAAAGCCCUGUUGUGGGGAAAGAAAAGAAACAGGGGAAGAAGACGCGGAAGUGACGGUACCAAAAAAAAAAGCACCGGCUAACUACGUG